CUUGGGAGUUCUCUGCCUCAGUUGAGACACUGCUGUUCUCAGAGUUCUCUUCUUUGGAAUGUGACGCUUCAGUGGUUGUACCUGUUUCCAUGCCCUUCUCAUCAUCACCAGAUGCAGUCUCAGUAUUUUCUUCUGCAGGGGUGCUAUCAGAUGAGUUACCCUUGUCAUCACCAGAUCCAGUCCCAGAUGAUGCUGUUGCACUUUCAUCUUCCAAUCCAGUUUCAAUAUGUACAGCCUCACCAGUGCCAUGCUCAGAUGAAUCUGAGGUAGCAGAAGUUGCAUCACCUUGGUUUUCACUGGCAUCAUUUUGUGAAUUAUCAGUAUGAACUGAUGGUAUAUUCCCUGUUUCAUCAGGAAGACUGCCAGUAGCACGGUCAUCAGUUGCUUCGGCCUUGGCAACAUCAGGAAGGGAUUCAGAACCACUUUGAGUAUCAACUGCCUCCUUUU
rnacentral:lncRNA from 1 species